rnacentral:lncRNA from 1 species
CUCCAGCCUGGGUGACAGAGUGAGACCCAGUCUUUAAAAAGAAAAGCAAGGAAAAAUGCGUCUCUUCUAUAUAUCUUAACUGGGUAAAUGGAAAAUAGAGUUGGAAGCAUUUCCUCCUCUGCACUGCCACAGCCUCUCUGAAAUUUGAAAUUGCAGGACUGGGAAGAAUUUUGUGUCUGACCCUCUACUUCCCUAUGGGCAAGGACUAAAUCAUUCAUCCUUAUGUCCUCAUCACCUAGACCAUCCCUGGCACAGUGUAUUUAAAGCAUGUUUGCUGAAGGAUGGGAUGAAGGGAUAAAUAAAGUGUAAAAAACAAAGACUGAGAGGAGAUCUGAGUUUAAGCACUACUGGUCAAAAGCUAGCUGGAUGCAUCUGGCAGGUGUUGACAGUCAUACAAAGAAGUGGAUUAACUAGACUCAGGCAUUCAUUGAUUUCCCCCAACAAUCCUUUAUUCUGUAUCCUCUAUGUGCUAGGCACUGUGCUCAUGGCUUGGAGUUUAGCAAUGACCAAGUUCCUGCCCUCUUGAUGGUCCCACUAAGGUUUCAUUUUGUUCCAGUUCUGCUGAAGAUUAGGUUAUUCUCAUACCAAUUAUUUGAAUGGAAUUUGUCCAGUAGUGGAUUUCAAAAUAACUCAAUGCAAAUGCCAGUCAACGUUAGAAAUCCAAACAGACAAAAAAUUUGUUUGGUAAAAAAAAAAAACCAACCACCUGCAUGCCAAAACUUGAAAAAAUUCUGAGCUAUGUAAGGCAAAACACUAGCUUUCAGAAAAAAUGAGAGAGACUGCAGACCGUAUGUUUCAUAUUUACAAUGUUUUCAUUGAGGCAAUGAAUACAAACUAUUCUAUAAGAGCUAUUUAUUUGCUCUUAUUUAUGACAAGCUUAGCUUAAAAAAAGAUACACAAAUAAAUCGUUAGCCGCACUGUCUCAUGCAACUCAUUUCAAUGCAUUCAGCAACAGUCAACCUCUGAAUAAAUCACUGAGAGCUCAAUUUUCAACCUUGAUGUUAUCUUUAGCAUAUUAAAAUAUAUUGUACCUCAGACCAAUAUAAUAAAACAGUAAUGGCAGAAGCUUUUAGUGUAACAUAUUAUAAUGAGAAAAUAAGGAAAAAUAGCCAUUUUCCUUAUUAUAUUACAGACUAGAAUCCUAUUAAAAUAAAUGUCAUCAUUAUACUUGAUUACAUAGGUCAAAAUGUGUCUUCCAAAACCCAGCAAAAGCCCAAGGAUAUAGCUGCUGGUCCAGUAUUUUCCAACAAGUGUCAUGGGGGCAAAGGUGGGAGGCUCCUUAUCUUAGAAAAGGCUAUGAAGUACUUGAGCACCAUUUCAAAAGCAUAACUUAUUAUUCUUUAAUGAUUGCCUUGACUGCACUCACCCAGGAGCGUAGCUGCUGGGAAGGCUAAGCAAAGAGAAGCUUUCUUGACAGCUUCUUAUGGCUAAAGCUGGUAUUUUCCUUUCAAAAAUAAAUGCAAUCAAGAAAUGAAUUAUCUGAUAAGAGAAAAAGUAAGCAAAAGAUUUAAGUGUCUCUUCAACCUGCUAUGUACAAAUGUGGAUUAUGUCACAGCUCUGCUUUCUCCGCCCAAGGUUUAGAGCAGGCAGUGACAUCUUCUUUCUGAUGCAACUGAAAUGAUCUUAAGAUAGAGGCUGCAUUUCAGCAAAAGUACCAGACCUCGAAAGAAGACAGGGCAUACCUAGCAUCAUUUGGAAGAAGAGAGGCAGAAAUUCAAACUUCAAGAAUCACCACCAACUCUACACAUGGCUGCUACUCAGCAGCCAACACAAGACCCAGGAGUGGGAUGGUCAGUGCAGCACGAGGAAGGUGGGCACCGUUAAGCCUAUGUUUAAAUCCACAGACAAUGAAAGAAACACCAUUUUCUAACAGCAAGGACGCAACCACUAUUCUUUUUAAGUUUCUGGAGAAGAAUGAUCUUGACAAACCUACAUAAAAGGUGGAUACACACACAGACACACUCACAUCCAAAAGCACACAUCACAGAGUCACAGAUCAGGCUUUGCUGAGACGGAAGCAGGAUGAACUUUGUCAUGAGAAAGCAAUGGAGCAGAGGGAAGAGCUGAAACACCCCCUGUUGGAAGCACUGACAGCACACAACUGAACAGCGCUGUGGCUGCAGAGGUGACAUGGGGGAGAGCAUGGCAGAAGCAUGGCAGUGGCUACUCAUGCGGGACUACAAAGCCAUAAGCAAUGCUAUGAAGGCAUCUGGGGGUCCUAGUGUCACUACGAAUGGAAAUAAAUAAUAAAAGGUGGGAGAGUAUUAGUUGGAAAAACAACAUUUUGGAGGUUUAGUCAGCAUUAGAAAAAGGUCAAAGUUUCACUGCUUCUGUAUGAAAGUGAAGUGAGAACAAGAGAAAUAGCUAAGACCUAUGUGACAAAUAGGAAUUGAUUGGUUGAUUUUUUUCAGGGUUGGGGAGAAAGGGACGGGACGCAGGUUUGGUUGGAGCUUUGACCUUU